UAUUUAUCAGUCAACACUCAUAGUCUGAACAAAUUAUAGAAAAGAUGCCAUUUUUGGAAAAAGUUGUUUAGCAGUUAUUUCAACUGGAAUCGAAUCUUAAAGAUUGCAUAUUAUUAGUAAUAAAAUUUUUAAAUAGUUUAUUAAUAAUAAUGAAUUAAUAACAUCAAUUUAAAUAUCUUUGAUUUAAAAGCAUUUUUAUACUUCUUAUCUUCACUUAUCUUUUUUAUUUAUCAGUUUAUCUUCUUUUUUAUAUCAAUUUUAACUAACUCUAAUUUAAAACCAUUUAUCCACUUUUGAGCUUUUUGCAUCCAGUAUUUACACUAAUAUUUUAUUUACUUUUCAAAACUUUGAGGAUAGUAUGAAGAAAGUAUGAAAACAUUGAGGAUAUGGCAACGGUGUCAUAUUUCAAGUAACAAACAGUUCACAGAACACUAAUUUCGCUGGUUAAUGCGCGGUAGCCACCCAAGGUUCAUAGAUAGGGGUUAGGUUAUCUCAUAACUAUGUGGGCGGAAGCGAGAGGGAGGGGAAUGUCUAGUCACUUGUACGACAAAGUCAAGUUUGACAGUUGUUUGAGGUUAUAAUUCCGUAUAUUUUUGUGGAAUUUUCUUAUAAUAUCGUUUAUUUGUUUAAUAUUUGUUGAGUUUUUAAGCAUAUAAGGACAAUAUUACUAUAAUUACUUAUUUGGGUCCUAUACAAAGGCAGUAAUGACUUGUGAAGUGUGUUUUCGUAACCGUGUAAAAUGAGUGGUGGUAACAUUUGUAGCAUAGCUAUAUGUAAAAGCAACUCCAAAAUUCCUGAACCAGAUGGAAACACAAUAAUGUUUUUGGACAUUUCCCAAACAUUAUCAAACAAUAAUGGAUAAUAAAAUGUUACAAGAUAAAUGGGCCUCUAAACAUAAGAAAAUAGGUAGCAAACAUGUCCUCGUGUCUGAAUAUGUUAAUAUUAUGUUACGUCUUUUUUAUAUUUUAACCUAAUAAUAAAUUAUUUAUAUUA